rnacentral:rRNA from 1 species
GAUGAACGCUGGCGGCGUGCCUAAUACAUGCAAGUCGAGCGAAUGGAUUAAGAGCUUGCUCUUAUGAAGUUAGCGGCGGACGGGUGAGUAACACGUGGGUAACCUGCCCAUAAGACUAGGAUAACUCCGGGAAACCGGGGCUAAUACCGGAUAACAUUUUGAACCGCAUGGUUCGAAAUUGAAAGGCGGCUUCGGCUGUCACUUAUGGAUGUACCCGCGUCGCAUUAGCUAGUUGGUGAGGUAACGGCUCACCAAGGCAACGAUGCGUAGCCGACCUGAGAGGGUGAUCGGCCACACUGGGACUGAGACACGGCCCAGACUCCUACGGGAGGCAGCAGUAGGGAAUCUUCCGCAAUGGACGAAAGUCUGACGGAGCAACGCCGCGUGAGUGAUGAUGGCUUUCGGGUCGUAAAACUCUGUUGUUAGGGAAGAACAAGUGCUAGUUGAAUAAGCUGGCACCUUGACGGUACCUAACCAGAAAGCCACGGCUAACUACGUGCCAGCCGCCGCAGUAA